ensembl:lncRNA
AACUUCACCGGAUAGAGAUUUCCGAAGCUGUCUGAGGGAACAUGAAUGGUGCCCCUCCUGCAACUUUCUGUUGCACACAAAAGUGGAAUUUAAGUGGAAGUGGUGGAAUUCACUGGACCAUACCAGGAACCUUAAAAGGAGAUAGCCCAUUCUGGUUAAGCAAAAAAGCAACGAUAGAGAAGUUCUAAGGGAGAGGAACUGCCUAGGCUUUGUUCUUAAAAAAUAAAUUAAUAAAUAAGGAGGAGAGAGAAGGAGAAGAAAAAGAAGUCUGACUUUCUGUUGGCUUUUUUGUUUGCAGUACUUGUUAGUGGCUCACAGCCAUGGUAUGACACAAGGUCUGACAACAUGCAUCCUGGUUAGUCACUGAUUAGUAGGGGUUGGAAAGUCCAUAAGUGUUCUAAUGUUUUAGCUUGGAAUUUAACCUUGUUUUCAUCCAAGUGUUAUUUGCUGAAGAGACAAAACACGAAGAGCUAUGGUAACCAUUCUCUCUAACAUCAGGAUUCAGUGGAUUGAGUUCUUAAGUUUUUGCAAAGUAUUAUUAACAGAUAUGUGCCCUGAAAAGCUUUUUUCUCCUGUUGACAGUGCAUGAUAUAUAUGUAAAAGAACCACACAGAAGAUAUUAACGUAUGAUAUGUAAGCAAUGGUUUUAUAAAUAUCCAAAUAUCUUCAGAUCACUCUGCUAUCUCUUGAAAAGACCAUGCAUCAGUAUUAUGGUCAAGUGUGAGAAGAUCAAGACAAAAUGCAGUUUGAAAUACAGCUUGCAAAAGUUAUACAGUUAAUAAAGAGUACAUUUUGUAAAGAUUCUUAAAGUGCUCACAGAUGAAGAAGCCAUAACAAGAACAAAAACCCUUGUUCAUUAGAUUUCUGCUUCAGGGUUCCCUGUGGAGGAGUUUAAGAAAAUUCCUGCUUUGUGAAGUCUCUUUAUGGCAAAUACAUCAGGUUACCUGACAGGUUGAAAACUCAGUAAAUGAAUGAACUAUUAAUGUUUAUUUUGUCAAAUCACAAGGCCCAGGUGGUCCUGCUUGAGAGUUUUAAAGAAACUCAAGAAACAGCUGCAUCUGGACAAAAUGUGUAGAAGUGCUCAAGUGACACUCAACUUUUCUGUCUCUUAACAUCUAUGGACUCACUGCUUAAUAUAAUUACUGUUUCUGCUGCAUCAGUCAUCAUGCUCCUCUGCUGUAUUCCAGAAUAUUGUUUUGAUGGAUGGCCCUUUGUUUUAACCCAGAGCAGCUGUUUUUAGUAAAAAAAAAAUGUUUUCAUUAUGUCUGCUGCUUGCAUACAAAAUGUGACAAAAUGCAUCAAACUAAACAAGAUUUUUUUUUUAAUUUUGUGUAUAUUUUCCCCCACUUUCUAUUAGCCUGAAAUUUAUUUUUACUAAAUAUUUCAGAUUUAUUUGUUAUUUGUUUAGUUUCGAACACCAUUGCUUUAAUAUGAAGUUUAUUGUAAUUCACAGUACAGGCAGAAGUGUAUUCUCAGUUCUGUUUUUAAUCUUAGCGUAUCCUCUGAACAUCAAUUAACUAAAUGGAACAUAAAUAGAUUACUUAGCACAGUAUCUGAGAAUAUCCUGUUAUUCUGACGGCUAUUAGGAAUUUGAAACUGUUUAUAUCAAAAAACAUACGGGGAAAUUUGUGGACUGCUUAAGAUGUAUGCUUAAUGUACCUUUAAAUUAAGCUAAUCUGCUAGUUUGCCACAAUUUUUAAAAUAAGUUUUCUGUAGGCUGAUUUUAUCUUACACUU